GUGCCAGCCGCCGCGGUAAUACGGAGGGGGCGAGCGUUAUUCGGAAUUAUUGGGCGUAAAGGGCGCGUAGGCGGCCUGAUAAGUCAAAGGUGAAAUCCCUCGGCUCAACCGAGGAAUUGCCUUUGAAACUGCCAGGCUUGAGGCCGGGAGAGGGUAGCGGAAUUCCCAGUGUAGCGGUGAAAUGCGUAGAUACUGGGAGGAACACCGGUGGCGAAGGCGGCUACCUGGACCGGUUCUGACGCUGAGGCGCGAAAGCGUGGGGAGCAAACAGGAUUAGAUACCCCUGUAGUCC
rnacentral:rRNA from 1 species